AUACGGAGGGGGCUAGCGUUGUUCGGAUUUACUGGGCGUAAAGCGCACGUAGGCGGUUUAUCAAGUUAGGCGUGAAAGCCCCGGGCUCAACCCGGGAACUGCGCUUAUUACUGAUAGACUAGAGAGCGGGAGAGGGUAGCGGAAUUCCCAGUGUAGAGGUGAAAUUCGUAGAUAUUGGGAAGAACACCAGUUGCGAAGGCGGCUACCUGGCCCGGUACUGACGCUGAGGUGCGAAAGCGUGGGGAGCAAACAGGAUUAGAUACCCCGGUAGUCC
rnacentral:rRNA from 1 species